rnacentral:rRNA from 1 species
CGGACGGGUGAGUAACACGUGGGGAACCUGCCCCAUAGUCUGGGAUACCACUUGGAAACCGGAGCUAAUACCGGAUAAUAUAUUGAACCGCAUGGUUCAAUAGUGAAAGACGGUUUUGCUGUCACUUAUAGAUGGAUCCGCGCCGCAUUAGCUAGUUGGUAAGGUAACGGCUUACCAAGGCAACGAUGCGUAGCCGACCUGAGAGGGUGAUCGGCCACACUGGAACUGAGACACGGUCCAGACUCCUACGGGAGGCAGCAGAC